rnacentral:rRNA from 1 species
UACGUAGGCAGCAAGCGUUGUUCGGAGUUACUGGGCGUAAAGGGUGCGUAGGCGGCGCGGUAAGUCGGGUGUGAAAUCUUGGAGCUUAACUCCGAAACUGCAUUCGAUACUGCCGUGCUUGAGGACUGGAGAGGAGACUGGAAUUUACGGUGUAGCGGUGAAAUGCGUAGAUAUCGUAAGGAAGACCAGUGGCGAAGGCGGGUCUCUGGACAGUUCCUGACGCUGAGGCACGAAGGUCAGGGGAGCAAACGGG